rnacentral:rRNA from 1 species
AUACCGGGGGAUAACAGUUAGAAAUGACUGCUAAUACCGCAUAAGACCGCAGUACCGCAUGGUACAGCGGUAAAAACUCCGGUGGUGUAAGAUGGGCCCGCGUCUGAUUAGGUAGUUGGCGGGGUAACGGCCCACCAAGCCGACGAUCAGUAGCCGACCUGAGAGGGUGACCGGCCACAUUGGGACUGAGACACGGCCCAGACUCCUACGGGAGGCAGCAGUGGGGAAUAUUGCACAAUGGGGGAAACCCUGAUGCAGCGACGCCGCGUGAGCGAUGAAGUAUUUCGGUAUGUAAAGCUCUAUCAGCAGGGAAGAAAAUGACGGUACCUGACUAAGAAGCCCCGGCUAACUACGUGCCAGCAGCCGCGGUAAUACGUAGGGGGCAAGCGUUAUCCGGAUUUACUGGGUGUAAAGGGAGCGUAGACGGCUGUGCAAGCCAGAUGUGAAAGCCCGGGGCUCAACCCCGGGACUGCAUUUGGAACUGUGUGGCUGGAGUGUCGGAGAGGCAGGCGGAAUUCCUAGUGUAGCGGUGAAAUGCGUAGAUAUUAGGAGGAACACCAGUGGCGAAGGCGGCCUGCUGGACGAUGACUGACGUUGAGGCUCGAAAGCGUGGGGGAGCAAACAGGAUUAGAUACCCUGUAGUCCACGCCGUAAACGAUGACUACUAGGUGU